rnacentral:rRNA from 1 species
GUCUAUGUCCAUGCCACCCUGAACGUGCUCCAUCUUGUCUAAUCUUGGAAGCUAAGCAGGGUUGGGCCUGGUUAGUUCUUGGAUGGGAGACCAUCUAGGAAUACCAGGUGCUAUAGGCU